UUGCUUUAUUGCUCUGCUCUUACCAUCUUGAAAUUCAUAAUCAUUGUCAAACAAAGAGUCCCAUGUUUUCUUUUGGACUGGGCCCUGCAAAUAAUGUAGCUGUACAUGGAGCUGAUGUUUGUAAGCAAAGCAUUCUGUUAUUUUCAGAAGGACCACUCAAAUGUGUCUGGAAAAGACCAAACAACCCCAGACGGCAAUGGUCUCCAAGGAAGGUGACCAUGAGAGAACAGGGAGGUGAACAGUACGCAACCAAGUGAAGAGGAAAGUGUGGCUGCUUGCACCAUCUAGCAGCCUUUCUUGUUCAGUGCACCUCAUUAAAACCACAGAAAAU
ensembl:lncRNA novel transcript